CCCUCUCGCUCUUGCUCUUGCUCUCUCGUGCUCCCUUGCCGUCUCCCUCUCCCUCUCGCUCUCUCGUGCUCCCUCUCUCAAUCUCGCUGCCACUCAGCUUGUGGACAGAAGGUUUCUUCCUAUCAGGUAAAAACAAAGGGUUUCUUCCCAUCUUGCUGCCACUCUCCUUGUGGACGAAAGGUUUCUUCCCGUCAGGUGAUCAACUAGCUAUAGGAAAGGAAACCGGUUGCUGUCUGGGAAUGGGCACCAACAUGUACCCGUCAUCAGCUUUGCUAGGACAGAACAAGGAUGAGUCAAUUGCUGCUUUGCCAAUCGAUGAGCUGAUAGAGAAGGCCGAUGGUUUUGCUAAUGUUUUCCCUGAAUGCAAAAUUGAAGGGGACUAAUGGUACUACGAAAGAAAGUUCCAAGGUCUGGCAAAUAAGAAGACCAUGCUGAUUCAGCCAGCAGGGAAAGAUCUUUCUGUUGUGCUUGCAACGACGAAGAUAAAGAACCAAAACCGUCCUGCAAAUCUGUACCAUAGGUCAAUCAUGAAGAAGGAAUUCUGACAAAUGGCAAAGGCUGUUGUUAACCAGACUGGAGAUUUGUGGUUUGAGGGUCGUGAGCGCAUUCAUCACACACGAGACCGGCUCUUAUAACUUAAGGAGGUUGUAGAUGUUCCUGAAGAUAUAUUGAAAAUCAAAUAAGAGAUUGAGUCUGAACUUUUUGGGGAUGAUUAGAGUACAAGCAAUUUGAGGACUUCCUCUUCUUUGCAAGGACUCGCUAGAGUAUGUUUCUAAAAUUGUGGAUGUUCUUGGACAACUCCUCAU